CCAGCAUGCGCCGGAGAGUAGACGACGGCAUCUUUUUCAGAAACUCACGCUCAAUCGAGUCCACGCACUUGAGGGCCAUGUAGAAGUUGUUGUUGGAGAGAUGAAAAUUGGCUCGGGAGCAGAGCUCGACUAAUUGAGCACAGGUCCGAAGAGAUUCGAUGGCGAGAGUGAUGUUCUUGCAUUUGUUGCGGGCCUCGACGAAGGAGUCCAGGGAGGUGAGCAAGGGGAGGGCGACGGACUGAAGCUGGGAGUUGGAAAUGGAGAGAGAGGAUUUGAGGGAAUCGACGUCGGAGAGGAGGGAGCGGAGGUCGUCGACUGCCAUGAUGAAGUCUUGGUAGUGGGCCCUACAAACGUCCUCGAUUUCGGACUCUUUGGAUCGGGAGAAGUGUCGGAGGUGGUGAAGGAGGGUCUCGGGUUUACCGGAGGCGAAGGCCUUGCGGACGAAGGGGCCUAAGUCCUCGCCGUUGCAGAUGGCAGCAGAGACGAGGAGCUGGUCUUGUUUGUCGGCGGAAUCGCCGUUGUCAGUUGAAGCCGGAACUACUUUCCGGCGCAUCUUGGACGAGUGCAUGGGAUGGGUUGGGGAGUUGGAACGGACAGUAAGUGCUAGAGCGACGGAGCCGCUGAAAAUGGAGGGGAUUUAGGAAGGAGGAAAAUAAAACCCGCCAAAAAAAAAAUAAAAAACGGAGUUGGGAGACUGCUGAAGAAGAAGAAGAAGAAGAAGAAGAAGAUCGUGGGUUGGCGAAAAGUGGGGUGGUUAGGACUUAGGACAUUGAGGAGGUCCGCUUGGAAUUUUAGUCCCCUCCAGUAAUCUUCUUAGGUAUCUAUUGACUAAAAUGCCACUGGAUGGAUUGGGUUGGGUUGGGUUGGGUUGACGGGGUUUGUGCUUUGUUCUUCAUCUCAUCUCAUAGUUAAAAAGAUGCUCCAGGAAGUGUUACGUAAAAGGUAAGGAAUUAAAAAAGGGCAGUCAGAAUUUGAAGGAAGCAUUUCGAGUUCUUUUCGUCAUUUUCCUGCUCUCAUUUCGCACGACUGUUUGAAGUCGAAGUAUUAGUCAAAAAUAAAUCAGACGCCGUCCAAAAAUAUUUCCAAUUGUCGACCCCCGGUGGCCAACUGCCUCGACGUACACAACGCAGCUACGGACUACAUACCAAUUUCGCAUCUUAUUGUAUUCCGCCCUAAACUUUAUAAUUUCUCAAAGAUUGUGUUUGGAUCGGUGGAUUUGAUUGGAUCGGUGGAUUUGAGUCAUUUGAAUUUAGCGAAGGAUGUGAUUCAUUUGGAUAAGUGGUUGUUUACAAAAUAUUAUUUCAUUGCAUUACGUUUUUCAAUCAUCCUUUUUUUAUCUUCCUAACUUUCUAUUUAUCUCCAAUGUUUUGAAAAUUAGAUCGAUUUAAGCCGUCUAUGGAUUUGAUCUAGAUCAUAGUUUGGGUUGACCAGGCCUAAGACUCGGUCAAAAUUUUAUUAACCGUGCAAGCUGGAAUGCAUCAUAAACUGGCAGUUUAUAUGCUUUUUUGUCAAUUGAAAAGAAAAAAUGAUACGUUUUCUCAAUUCUAAAGACUAAUCACUAAAAUUUAUCUUUCAAAGCCCCAGUUCUUUGGAAAUAUUUUUGUUUUUAUUAGGUGAUGUCUUAAGUUAGUCCACGAGAUAUCUUACUCUAUGCAUGUAUAUUUAUAUAUUUUAUUUUUGAAAAAAAAAAGUUAUUGAACUCAGAUUGAAUCAGUCAGAUCGGUUGAAUCGCUAUUCAGACACUUCAUUAGUUCACUUAUCGAUCUGAGUUUUAAAACAUUAUUAUUUAUCUCACAUACAUCACAUCAUGAAAUGCGUUACAUUAAAUUCAUUCUUAUUUGAACACACUCGUUCUAAGGAUGGUGACUAAACGAGUAUUCUCGAAAUUUUUUCUUAUCAAACCCUAACCCGUUUAUUUUAAAUUUUUUAUCAAACCCUAUCGAGUGAUCCUACGAGUUUUAAUUACUAUUACCUAACCCUCUUCAUGCGAGUUCCAAUUACCCAUCGGGUACCCUCUAUCUGCUAAUUUGAAUGAUAAAAAAAAUAAUUAUUUUUAUCAAACUAAAAAUAAUUUAUACAUCACCGUAAAUCAAUAAUACAAACAUUGAGUCUCGUAUUUGGACAAAGCAAUAGAACAUACAUGUACAAAAUUCAACAUUUUAUGAAAACUAAAUCAACAUUAUUCUAUUUUUAAUCACAAUUGCCUCCAUUUGAGACUUCUAGUUAAAUCAUGCUUCUCACCACUAGCAAUUUCAGCAAAUUUCCAGAAGAAGAUUCAGACAAUCAUUCUCAUGGUCAUUUCCAAACAAUUAGUUUUAUACAAAACAUGACGGAGAACGCUUGGCACUAUGAAUAUGGAGAAUAAAAAUACAAACUAAAGAGAAUAAGAGGGUUAUGGAUUGUGCAACGACUUAGUAUAGAGUUAUGGGUUAUUAAACUAUCAAAUUAAGACCUAAAGUAUCAGUUAGUAAAUCAAUAUGUAAUAGUGGAAUGUGAUGGAUCAGACAAUGGCAGUAAAAGUUGUAACGAUCCUACGUCAGUUAAGGAGGAAGUUCUGGGGCUGCUUUAAUAGCAUGUGGUCUCUCUCACCUAGUUGAGGCCUUUUAAAGGGGUGCAGGGCUUCAUGACCUACGGGCUUGGGUUCCUCAUCUGUUGUGAUUUCACCCACCUCCAAAAACAAAAUUCACGGCCCAAUAGGACGAUUAACUGUGGGACAAUAUUGGCUAGGAUCGUUAGAAAAGUAUUAAAGAAUUGUUGAUUUGAACACCUUCUUGUACAUUUUGAAAUAAAUAGCUUAUGGGAAAAAUAAAGACAUAUAAAUUGAGUAAAUUCGAAAUUCAUCAUUUUAACUAUUAAAAUUCCUUCCACUUAUUGGGGUCAAAAAAUUCACGAGAAACCCUUACAAUAUCCGUUAAAACCACGCGAACGACUAUUGAGCGAUAGGUCCAUUUUGAUUUAUUGGGCUUUGGCAGGAAUGAUAAGUACCACAAUUGUUCACUUGCGUAAACUGGGCUGAAAUACAUCAUUUAGGGCUAGGUCCAUUCAAGCGCGACAACCCACACUCUCCCGAUUCCCAGUUAGAUAAAACGGCAGCAUACAACCCUAGCAUAGUAGUCUUCCUUCCCUUCCAGGCCGAAAAACAUCUAUCGUUUCUGCAGGCGCCGCAGUGGGGAAAAGGAACAGAAGCAGUAGCCAUGGUACUAUAUCCCAUUUACUGAAUAAUAGUUUCUGACUCAAAGCACUAGCAUUUCUUGUUGCAUUUAAUUAUGUUAGCAAUGGAUUUGUUUUCCUUUAGCUUUAAGGAGUUUCACCUCUUUUUUUUUUUUGGCUGAUUGGGUUCAUUAGGGUAUCGAUCUAAAGGCCGGAGGUAAGAGCAAGAAGACGAAGCGGACCGCUCCCAAAUCCGAUGAUAUAUACUUGAAGCUGCUGGUGAAGUUGUACCGGUUCCUUGUGAGGAGGACCGGUAGCAAGUUCAAUGUGGUGAUACUGAAGAGGUUGUUCAUGAGCAAGAUUAACAAGCCUGCUCUUUCGCUUUCACGGUUGAUCACUUACACCAAGGGCAAGGUGCCUAUCUUAACUCCCUCCCUCUGCCAUCAUUAUGCCCUUUUUGGAGAAUGUUAUGGGAAUAAUAAGAUCUUUGCUACUUAUUUCGUCCAGGGUUAAGAACUGGUGUAAUAUUUCCAUUCUGUUAGAUUUAGGUUGGCGAAUUUGAACUGCUUCUAUACACAGGAAGCUCCAGGGAUGGAAAUGUUGAAAUAGCAAACGGUUCCUAUCUUCUUAUUUAAAAUUUUUGACUGGUUGAUUCAUUUCCUUCAUUCUCUAUCGGUGCUCAACAUUUAGUACCCUGCCCCUGAGUCCAUUCAGGACAAAGUGCAAUCUAAAAGCCAAAUAUAGUAGUAUUAUUCUGUGUUAAUGUAAUUGAGUGUAGAAACAUGUGUUUGGUAUGGUGGUUCUCAGGAGGACAAGAUUGCAGUGGUUGUUGGGACUGUCACCGAUGAUACUCGUGUGUAUGAAGUUCCUUCACUGAAGGUCACCGCACUUAGAUUUACUGAGACUGCGAGGGCUAGGAUUGAGAAGGCAGGAGGAGAAUGCUUGACUUUUGAUCAGCUCGCUCUAAGGGCUCCUCUUGGCCAGAACACGGUAUGUGUGUGUGUAUACCACCAUGAUGCUCUUCCCUUGCAUGUUUUCUUUCAUCUGGCUGGCCCUUAGAAAUAUGUAACAGGUUCUCUCUCUUUUUUCCUGGGAAAUUUUAGUUUACCUGUUAGGUGCAAGGGAAUAAUUUAGUUUACCUGUUAGGUACAUGUAAAAGAGUGAUAACAUUGCUUGUAAUCGUACCUUGUAUUCGGAUUGUUCAUGCUUUUUUUAUCUCAAUGUGAUUCGCUGGCAAGUCUUUCUAUGACCUGUUUAGGCUCAGUAAACCUCUGUAAGCUUCUUGCUGAGGCCAAAUUGGAUAUGUUAGAUGGGUUUGCAACCUCUUGUGUAUUAAGUGUCUAAAUGGUUUCUGAAUUUAUGACAGUAGUGAAUAGCUGGAGAUUUAUGUUCCCCUCAAAGCCUGUGUAAUUUCAUAUGUUGCAGAUGGGCAGAAGGGAACUAAAUGUAGUUGUUAGAAAGACGCAAUUGAGUGGUUUUUGACUUAUACGAGGCAAUCUUUAUGAAUAUUGAACUUUUAAGAUGAAAAAUUAGUCGUAUUUACCUCUUAGAACUAACUGAAAAUUCUUCGAAUCUCUGUUCUGGCAUAUCUACCAGCUUCUUUUUGACCAAAAAUCCCCAAAAAAUUUAGUUAAUGGCAUGGAUUUCUUGGCUGUGGAACUUGUUCAUUUAGUUAAUGGCAUGGAUUUUUUGGCUCUACAAUGCAGGUACUUCUUAGAGGGCCUAAGAAUUCUCGUGAAGCAGUGAAGCACUUCGGACCAGCUCCCGGAGUACCACACAGCAACACCAAGCCAUAUGUUCGAUCCUCGGGAAGGAAAUUUGAGCGAGCUAGAGGAAGAAGAAAUAGCAGAGGAUUCAGAGUUUAAGUUGUUGUCAAUUAAUUGUUGAAGGCAUACUAAUAUACACUAUUGAGAUGCGUGCUUGAAACGUUCUGCCCUGCCCGCCUAUUUGCUUUCCUUGUUGUUUCUCCUUAAAUUAUUUUUUUCGUGUUUGAGACCUACUAGACGUAACAUUUAUCCGUAGCAGUCUCUUGAACUUGCACCUAUAUUUUUAAAAAUGUGGACAGCGUCCAUGGCUGAGAGUACAUUUCAAGUAAACAUUUCAUACUUUGAGCAGGCAGUGGUGCCAUUUAGGAAAUUUUCCAUUCGGAUUCAUAUCCUUCUUCUUUGCAACAUAUCUAAAUUGGCAAAUUUGGGAGAGGACUUGGCAGAUGUUCAAAUAAUGUCGCUCUUCACUAUAAUAAUUGAGUCAAAACUGGGCCAAAAAAAAAAAAAAGAAACCGAAAAUGAGCAUGGGGAUUUUUUGAGUUAUUUUUUUAUUUAAAUUUUUUCAUGUAAAAAUUUCCAUUUGCUGAAAGACAAUUAACGAGACACAAUAAUAAUUUGAGGAAUAAAAUCUUACUGCUUCCUAUAGAAGACUCGGCUGCUGAUACCGUUAAAAGCAAUAUUAUAGCGGAAAUAAGCGAGUGUUCGGUGAUUGUAGCUACUAAGUUUGUACGAUGCCUUUUCAAUUUCAUACGAGUACAAAGGAGAGGUAACAAAAUUACUUACACUAGGUUUUUUUAUUUUAUUUUAUUUCAGAUACAUUUAAUAAGAGUAUUUCCGUAGUAAGCACCCUCUUAUCAUAAUAGAUUGAUCUUGCUCUUUCAAUGGUCAUUAUGAUAGCGUGCUAUAUGAAAAUUUUGUUCAUUCAAGGAAAUUAAUAAAGUUUUGUUUAGAACAAUAAUACAUUUGUACAUGCUUUACUGCAAUCAUAUGUAUGAGGGACAUAAAAAGUAUAAAGCCAAAUAUACGGGAGGAUUAUUUGUAUGAUCUUCCCUUCUUAAUAAACUCACAAUCUUUUUUCAACUCGUUGUGUGAUGAAAUAUAAGAAAAUUUUAAACACCAAUAUAGGUACUUAUCACAUGUAUUAAUUUUUUUUAUAGACUGUUAGUGUAUAUAUUGACAGGUCUAAAUAUAUAUUACAUCAUUCUAAUUUAAAUUCGAACAUCAAAUUUUGUUAAUAUGAUAUGUAUUUAAACACGUAUACAUUAUCAGUACAUAAAAAACUUACUCUUAUAAAAUACUAUAUUUGUUCUUUUAACAUAAUGCAAAAAAAAAAAAAAGGGAAAUAAGGAUAACCAUUUUAGUAAAAGACCAACAUCAAUGAUAUUUUUCUUCCACAACUUCCUAACAAUAUAUAGGCUAAAGCAAGCAGUUUUCUGUCGGAAAAUUAUGUCGUUUUCCGUGAUCACAUUUCCCUAUUAUAUUUUUCUCUCACAUACAUCAAAUUGCUACAGUAUUUUUUAAGUUUUUCUUCCCCUCUUUUAAGUUUCCGUGAUUAAAUGAUUUCAACAAACGGGACCUUAAGUUUCAAAUCUUAUAUUCUUAAUCCUGAACUCCCAAACUAGGUAUUACUUUUUUUUUAAACAGUAACGAUAACAUUUUUAUAAUCUAAUUUAUUCUAAUCUAAAGAAAAGGAAAACAUAAAGAGGUUAUGUAAGGGGUUAGUAGGUAUAGGAACCUACCGGACCAAAUAGUUGCUAUGACACUUAUUUUAAAUUUUUUUAAUUGCAGAUAGAGUUCGAAUCCCCCCUGACUUAUAGUCCAAACUAGCCAUUACAUAGGGCGAAAAUUCAUGUGUUCAAACAAUUUCUUUUUUUUUUUUUUUGUUGGGUGGAAGAGUUCAAAACAAUUUCGACCUCUGUAUUGGUUCAAAUGCUGUAACCUCCUUAUUCCAACUUUUGUCAUCUUCCCGUGCGACUUUCUGAUAUCAAAUACGACUACGCUUACUAUAUUGCGUUGUAUCAUUCGCUCAUAUUUAGCGAGUACUCACUAUAAAAAUGAUUAACAGACUACCCACAUACUGCUACGACUACGAGCAUCCGAGUUUUGGUUCUUCAACUUUUCCACAGUACCCAAUGCCAACAAAAUAAAAAAUUAAAAUUGAAAAAAGGCCGCCCGAUUGGCGAAGUUGAAAUCAUCCAUCUCCAUGGACAAAAUACAGCACAGACAGGUACCCGUUAACGGAAUAAACCUGCACGUAGCGGAAAUAGGCGAUGGCCCUGCGAUAUUAUUCCUCCAUGGCUUCCCAGAGCUCUGGUACUCGUGGCGCCACCAGCUGCUCUCACUUUCUGCCAAAGGUUACCGGGCUCUUGCCCCUGACCUCCGCGGCUAUGGGGACUCCGACGCCCCGCCUUCCCCUUCCAACUACACCGCCCUCCACAUCGUCGGGGACCUGGUGGGCCUCCUCGACUCCCUGGGCCUCGACCGGGUCUUCCUAGUGGGCCACGAUUGGGGGGCCGUCAUGGCCUGGUACUUUUGCCUGCUGAGACCUGACAGGAUCAAGGCCCUGGUGAAUAUGAGCGUUGUCUUCACCCCUAGGAACCCCAAGAGGAAGCCCUUAGAGGCUAUGCGCGCUCGUUUCGGGGACGAUUACUACAUCUGCAGAUUUCAGGUGCUUGCUUCCGCUAAUUUUUUUUUUUUUUUUUGGCCGCUCUUCUUCUGGCGUUAACUUCACUUUUGAAAUUUUAAGUCCAUUUUUUGUUGUUGAUGAUUUGCUUAAGAGUGAAUGGCCCAAAAGGUCAUUAAAUUAUUAAAAUUGGCACCUUCUGGUCACUAAAUUUUUUUUGUGGUCGAAAAGGUCACUAAACUCGCAAAAACUCUCCAGCGAAGUCAUUUUAUCGAAUUUCAGCGGUUCCUCAUCCGGUAACAGGGUCAAUAUGUAGGGGAGGAAUAUAGUAAAGGGGCAAAAAUGUCAAACAAAAUAUGAUCAACCUUUUUCCUUCGUUGAAUCUUGAUAACAAGGAAUCUGCUCUAAAAUCAAUUUACCAAUCUCAAUCCCGCAACCCGCAACGUCUCACGUCCUCUUUAGCCCCACAAUAACACUUGGUUUUAACCAAUUUCGGGCACGAGGGGCAGGGCCCUGGGUGACACAACAACAAGCAUUCGUGCCCACAAUUGUAUGUCAACGGCCUACCACAGAUUUCUCCACAAGAACUUAUGAGGUGGGUUUUCGAGUUUUCCACAAAAACAAUAGUAAUACUUGGGGGUCUGCGAUUUGGGAUACUCGAUCCGGCAUUUGGGGCAAUGCCAGCGGAGGGUGUCAUCGUUAAGAGUGGCGGCGCGUGAGGCAGCCCGUGCAGCUGCAAGAUUUGAGGAUUGGUGGGCCCAGGAUUGGAUACAGAGGAGGUGGAAGACUGCGAAGCAGCGGGAGGAGCAGGACCAGGUGGGAUCGGUGGGUUUGAUCCGUUCAAGGCAUAUGAGGCAUGAGAGAGCCCCUCAGGAACGAUUGGAUCUUUAUCAGGUCUUGAUGUUGAGGGGAGGAUUGGUGACCGGUGAGUUCGAGGUAGGAUUUAAAGAUGGAGGAGAGGUCAGUGAGUUGGUGCUAGCGGGAACUGGUGCCGGAGUCGGAAUCUGAGUCGGAGGACGGUGGAGAAAGUGGCGGUAGGAGGGUAGUGUUGGAGGUCGCCAUUACGGGCCUUCCUGCGGAAACGAGGGUUUGGGAUUGAGACAAUCUAUGACUUCACCUAUUCCAAUAAUCUUUCGGACAUUUUUGCCCCUUUACUAUAUUCCUCCACUACAUAUUGACCCUGUUACCGGGUGAGGAACCGCUGAAAUUCGAUAAAAUGACUUCGCUGGAGAGUUUUUGCGAGUUUAGUGACCUUUUCGGCCACAAAAAAAGUUUAAUGACCAGAGGUGCCAUUUUUAAUAGUUUAGUGACCUUCUGGGCCCGUCACUCUUUGCUUAAUUUGUGGGCCUUUCUUUUGUUCUUGAUGUUUCGGUUGUUUUGCUACUGCUAGUCAUCUCUUUCUUUUCGGUUAAGCAAAAGAUAACAGGGCUGUAAGUACAGAUUUUUUAGCUUGUACGUAAGUGCAAUAUGUCGUUGCUCUGCCUUCUCAUAGUCAUGCAUCUGCACUGAGCAGCAAACUUCUGGUAAGUUAGGAUUAUUAACAUUGUAGAGACACACAGAUUAAGGAGAGGCUUAUGUGUGCAUCGAUUCUAUUUUAGGCAAGCUGUUGGAUUUCAAGAUGGGUAUUGAUCAUGCUUCAUUGAUCUAACUCAAUGAAAAUUUCAGGAUUUGGUGCUUUAUUACCUUUAGGUGUCACCUGAGCAAGCCCAUAGGUUACAGGUUUUAGUUAGGUCUGGAUGACUAUUCAUUAUCCGUUUGAUAUCUUCCAGCUGCCAACUUUGGCAGUUGAAAAUUUCACCACCUGUCUUCAAUUUUGUCCAACCUGCAAUGGAGUUUAUCUCGAUGAAAUAUCUAAUUACCUGCCUUGUCAUUUCAUUUGUAUCCUUGUUUUGUUAGGAGACUGCAGCUUGCAAGAGUUUUGUUUUUCAUUUUUUAUGUUCAAUUAUUGUGAAGAUGUCAAUUUGAGCUUAUAGAAGACCUAUAGUAUACUUUUAAGUACAGUACAUAUUAUGUAGCCCGUUUCAUGUUGUAGUCUGUGGAGUUUUGGUGAAACAGCUGCCUCUUAAGUCAUAUUUCGGACAUGAAAUGCUUCUUGGUUUAAUCAUUCAAGUGAGCAAAUGCAUUGGCCUUCUUUCUACAUGAUGCUAAAUAGAAAUUCAUUUCCUUUCUUGAUGGUUUUUUCCUGUAGGAACCUGGAGAAGCAGAAGAGGAGUUUGCUCGUGUUGACACUGCAAGGAUAAUAAAGAAGUUCUUAACAUCUCGAAGACCAGGCCCUCUGUGUGUACCUAAAGAGGUAGGAUUUGGAGGCUCACCUCAUAACCCAAUCCAAUUGCCCUCUUGGUUAUCUGAAGAUGAUGUCAAUUACUUCGCCAGCAAGUUCAGCCAGAAGGGCUUCACAGGUGGAUUGAACUACUAUCGAGCUAUGGAUCUGUGAGUUUUUACUCAUCAACUCUCUUUUCUUGUCACAAAAACCAAUCCUUUAUCCUUGUUUGCCUCUGAAUUCUUCCUUUGCUUUGUUUUUUCUUUCACUUGUCAUAUAACCAUUGACUUGCAUUGUUGCAAAAUUGAGCCUUGAAAGUUAAAUGCCUUCAGUUAAACUUAAUAAAUAAUAUGUUGCUGAUCAGCUCAAAUCAGACUUGUGUUGACGUAUGCAGUUGUAAUAUUGCAGCUUCACCUGGUGUAUUUGCUACAUUAGAACAAAAAGUUAAGAUGUUUAGUUGCAAAGUUUGGCUCGUUGAUUUGAAUGUGAUUGAACAUUGAUAUUGCAAGAAAUUAGCUACAUUUACUUAGAUUAGCUUACUCUUUUUAUUCAACAAAGACAUUCCGUUACUAUCACGGAAGAUAACACAGAAUUAGGUGCAUAAUUUUCUUUGACUGCUGCAGAAAUUGGGAGCUCACAGCUCCUUGGACAGGAUUGCAAAUAAAGGUGCCUGUUAAGUUUAUUGUGGGAGAUCUUGACGUGACUUUCACUACCCCGGGUGUGAAGGAAUAUAUCCAGAAGGGUGGAUUUAAAAGAGACGUGCCGUUCUUGCAGGAAUUAGUUGUAAUGGAAGGAGUGGCUCACUUUGUUAACCAGGAAAAGCCAGAGGAAGUUAGUGCCCACAUCUAUGACUUUAUCCAAAAGUUUUAGUACUUUUUCACCAUUCGCAAAUGUCAUUUUACUGCAUCUCCUAGUUGUGAUCUUUUAAAGGUGUCGUGUUUGGAAUAGGAUAUCCUAUAAAUAUCCAUGGGACGGUAGACUGUUCCUGGUCAGGAUAUUGCUUAUUUCCUUCCAAGAAAUAAAGAAGUUCGUAGUUUGUUUUUUUUUUGUGUCGAGAAUAUUGUUACUUCAAUAAAAGAUGUGUAAAUAUCUUGAGAAAACUUCUUACUGUAUUGACUAGAGAGCUGGUGCAAUACCUUUUUUUUUUUUUAACUGUAUUGACCGCAGAGUUAGUGCAAUACAUCAAGGAGCCCCUGAGAUUUUAAGAACACGUUCAUACAAGAGUCGCCCGCUUCCCCACCCUCGGGGUAGUUUAUUCAUGCAACGCUGUGAUUGGACUUUAGGUACGAAGACAGAAAUAGAGUAGCAUAGAAACUGAUAUACCUUCUUUUUAAGGGCAUAUUACUCUGGAUGGAACAACCGGUCAAGCAAUGUCAAUUUAACACAUUGCGGAUCAAACAGAACUGAAACUAUCAACAAAGCGGCUUUGUUUUAGUAAUGCCUGUCAUAUGGUUAUUAUGCUAAGGUCAAGAAGGUAUUUCUGAAAGUUGCCAGAUAUCUGCAGUCUCUCCAAGGAUUCAAAAACUUCUAAAGCGGCAUGAAUACUUGAUGAAAAGCAUAGAAUUAACAAACAGAAAUCCUUCCAUUAGGUUCAUGAAUUCAAACUUUUGGGAACUCCAUCCUAAAAUGAAGGCUUACGGAGGAACCCUUUAUUUGGAGUUAGAAAGCAGGAAAUAGGAGCAGAUAAUUGCUGUAGAAACUAGAACUUGCUGAUGAAAUCAUAAAUGUGGAUGCUGCACUCGUCUGCCUUUUCCUGGUUGAUAAAGUGGGCAGCUCCUGGUAUCACAAUCACUUCUUGCAAGUCAGGAACAUCUUUCUUGAAUCCUCCAUUGUGUAUGUAAUCUUGGAUGCCCGGUAUAUGAUAAGUUAAGUCGAGAUCGCCCACCACAAACUUAACAGGAACUUGAAUUUGCGCUUCUCUCCAUGGUGCUGAAAGCUCCCAGUUUCUGAUACAUUGGCCAUAUAUACUAAUUAGGUGGAGAUGAGAGCAUGAGUUUCUUUAUAAUAUAAAACUUGUGAGCUUAUACAACCGAUAAUUCCUUUUUUCAUGUGUCUCAACUUUGACAAUCGCUCUGUGAUUGAUUGGGAUAGUGCUGGUGUUGUGAAAAUUAUCUGAUUCAACCAGUGGGGAGUUUAACGUGGGCGUGGACUCAUUUCUUGUUAAAUGUUGAUUAAAAUGUUGUGGAGUAUCAAGUGCCAUCAGAUUAUUGAGAAUCGAAUUUAAGGAGGACGUGGUAUUAGGGGUAGCAGAAGUAGUAGAAAACUCUUACUUACAGAUCUAUACAGCGAUAGAAGUUGAAUCCUCCGCUGAAACCUGUCUUCUUGAAUUUAGUGGCAUAGUAAUUCAGGUCUUCCUGUGUCAGCCAUUCGGGCAAUGGGUUGGGAUUUUGAUGAGCAAAAUACUGAAAACCACCUCUAGGAAUACAGGGUGGACGUGUAUCACGAUUUGAAAAAAAUGCCUUCACAAGCUCGGCAGUGUCGACGCCGGCAAACUCCUCUUCCACCUCUCCCGUUGCCUGCUACGAGAAGAAACAGUAGUAGUAGUAAUCUUCCCCCAAAAUGUUGUUAUUUUUGUGUUGUUGAACUGAAAAGUACAGAAAUUAUACUGAGCAGGGGGCCGGGAAUGGGAUGAAAUAUGCAGAGCAAGUUUGUAUUUUUUGAAAGGCUUAUUUAGGAGCAAGCAUCAAAAUAAUCUACAACUCCUCAAUUAAGGUCCCGAAGUUCCAUCUGUUUAGGAAUUUUUCUCUAGCAUCCUCUUAACCAAAGCCCAAAGCUUUUUGGCAACAGUUUUACUAAUCCUAAAUCCCGUGAGAACCCCAAAAGCCGGUAUCUUUUGAGGUCUCACAGGGAACUAAUAAACCCAUUCCAAACCCCCCCAGAACUCCGAUGUGGGACAAAGCCUCCACAAACGGAGGAAGCCUGCUACUAGGCCCAACUGGAAACCCGACCCCCCCCAGAGGCUGCUUUCUCUUAACCAAAAUCCAAAGCUUUUUGGCAACAGUUUUACUAAAAACUAAAUCCCGUGAGAACCCCAAAAGCCGGUAUCUUUUGAGGUCUCACAGGGAACUAAUAAACCCAUCCCAAACCCCCCCAGAACUCCGAUGUGGGACAAAGCCUCCACAAACGGAGGAUUUGUCUAGCAUCCUCUCCUCAAUAAUCUACAACUUCCGUCCAUGGAUGGUUUCACUUUCAACUACUAAGUAGUGGUAAAGAAUAUGGGAUAAUUUCAAAAAUCUCCCCUCAGGGAGGUUUUUAACUAUUGCAGAAAACUCCCUUCUAAUUUAAAAAAUUACACCUACUUCCCUCAUAAUUAGUAUUUCAGUAACCAUAUAGACCCAUUAUGCUAUCCUAAAAUACUCCUUUGUUAUUUAGAAAAGAGAAAAACAAACUAAUAAAUUUUUUUCACAUUGCAAUUAUUAUAAACGACAAAACUACCAUCCUAACGAAUUCAAUAAACCACUUCAUCUUAAUUUUCAUAUUUUUACAAUUUUAACAAUUGCCGCCACAAAACCUCCCUUGCAAAUCAACUAUGACAAUUAAAGUCUACAUUCAUCUUAAUAUUUAGCCUCAUUUUUUUUUACCUAAAUUCAAUAUUUGAAUUAACCAAUGUUACUAUUCAACCUCAUUAUUACUAAAAUAAAGUAACCUACCAAGAAUAUUAAUAUGCAGUAACCAAAAGUAAUGCUAGAAACCACAUUCCAUGUCUUUAGAUAAAUCUGAUUGUAAUUUUUAUAUCUCAAAAUUCUUUUUUACAUAAUAGGCAUAAUUGACAUAAUACCGUAAUCUUCUUUAAUCCACGUUUCCUUCUUAGCUAUCAUUUUUAUUUUAUUGUAUGCACUAUGUAUCACCGUCAUUUUUUUCACCUUUAUUUAAUUUGACAACAAAUAUGAUCGUGCAACUUGUCAUUUUGUAAUUUUAAGUGAAUAAUAUUUAUAAAAAAAAGACAAAAAAGAGAAAGUGUGUCUGUUUGCAAAAAAAUAGUGAAUUAUAAAAUGUAGGAGAAAAAAGAUAAAAGAAAAAGUCUGAGAGAUAGAAUAAGGGUUUGGUUUGUGUGACAACAAUUAUUUUAGAAUAAAAGAUUAGUUGUAAUUGUAGAGAUUUUCUAUUUGUAGGAAUUAUUUAUAAAUAAAAGAUAUUAUAGUCAUUUUACUAUAUAAGAACGGAGGUUUGUGUAAUUAUUUAAAUCUGAAGGAACGUGAGUGAAAUUAUUCCAGAGAAUAUUUUACCUGAAAUCUGCAGACAUAGUAGUCAUCACCAAAAGUCUCGCGCAUCUCCUCUAGGGGCUUUUUGGAUGGAUUUUUGGGGUCGAAAUAGUGGUACACACAACUCAUGUUGACCAGGGCCUUGAUUCGAUCCGGUCGGAACAAGCACAAGUGCCAUGCUAUGAGAGAACCCCAGUCGUGGCCCACCAAGAACACCUUAUCUAGACCCAGACUGUUCAAAAGGGCCACAAGAUCUCCGACAACAUGGAAGGCCAUGUAGCUGCUGGGACCCGGCGGCGCGUCAGAGUCGCCGUAGCCUCGGAGAUCGGGGGCAAUAGCUCGGUAGCCUUUGGAGGCAAGAUACAGCAUCUGGUGGCGCCAGGAGUACCAAAGCUCCGGGAAGCCAUGUAAGAGUAACACCGCUGGGCCUUCACCAACCUCAGCUACGUGCAUAUUUAUGCCGUUGACAACUACACUUUGGUGCUUUAUAUUCUCCAUCUCACUGCUUAAAGACCUUUUUGACUUGCUAAUGUACCAACGGGCUAGGCCGAGACUAAAGAGAAGAGAGUUUUCAAUUAGUCACAGAAUCACUCUUAGAUGUUCUGCACGCCAGGUGUUUGUAAAAAUUUCUUGUAAACGUUGUUGUGAAAUACAAGAUGGGUUGUGUUGGUGUGUUUGUAAAAAUUUCUUGUAAACGUUGUUGUGAAAUACAAGAUGGGUUGUGUUGGUCUAACUUUUGCGUGUGUUCCUCUUAUUUUGCCUAAGUAUUUUACGUUGUUAAAUACUUGCGUGCAAGUGAGUUUAUAGGCUAACUGGUAGCGCGGCUUAUCAGUGCCGUUACGCAUGUGGUUUGUUAAGGAAAGUCAACACCUCGUAACAACUAGCCUAAUAGCUCACCAUGCCUUCACUUUUGCUUGCAUUUAUGGGUCUUGUAUAAGAGGAAAAUCGUAAUUUAGGGAGUAUUUGAUAAAAUUGAAAUGUGAAUUAUGCAUUCAAUAUUUAUUAAAUUAUUAAAUUGUAAAAUAUAAAGUCUGAUAAGUCAUUGAAUUGUUAAUUACGUAUUAAAAAAAGAUAGUGCUUAGAAAAUUUAUUUAUUACUUAUUUAUGGGAGGGAGUUUUGUUUAAAAAAUUCGAUGUUAUUUAAUUAAUCCAAAUAUUUAAUUUUUUAUUAUCAAACCCGUUUUUAACAUGUUAAAAUUUGAAUUAUUAAAUUUAAAUAUUGAAUUGAAUUAUUCAAUAGGAUCAUAGUUUCAAAGAUGGGAUGAUGUCCCGAAUUUCUGGUUUGACCAUAAAAGAAAAACACAAAAAAAAUUUUUUUUUUUUUUGCCCUUUCGGGUGGGGUUAAAAAACACCCAUGGAACGCUCCUAAUUUAAGGAUGAGCGAGUGCAUGUGAGGGAAGGUCCCAAACGUUACGCAUUAAUUACCCGCAUGGUGUCAGGACACAGCAAUCGAUCUUCCAAAUCAGACAAAUUAGACAAAUUGAUUUUGCCCCAAUGCGCAACGCUGUCGUUCUUUUUAAAGCUUCAAUAACUGAACGAUGUCGUUCCACUUAAAUGUAGCAGAAACAGCAAUAGGUAGAACGACGUCGUGGAGGGUACUCCAAUUCAUUAGCACGACGUCGUGUAGCGCAUAACAGAUUUAGUUAGCAAAUUUGAUUGUCUGUUGCUUCAUCCUAUUUGUACUAUUUUGAUUGGCGGAAAAGGUAUCAGAGUUUAUACCAGAAUUUCCCUCUUCCAAAUACAUUUCUAUAACCUCUACUUUUUGGUCCUCAGGAAUCUGGUAAUUUGUGCAGUACUUAUUGCAUUUCCUAAUCCACUCUCUCGGAUUCUCGCCACAGAACAUAGGUAAAUCAAUUUUAGGAGGAUUUGGUACAAAGAUCUUACUUGUUUCCUUCCUGAGAGUCCUGGUGUUGUCCGAGCCAAUCUGUAGCCUCUGAUUGAAUGGAGGAGUUGGUAGGAGUGGAGCUUGCUCACUCCUUUGCCUGUCAUCCUCUGGAGCAGCUCUGUCUUUGCCAAUUACUGCUCGCAUUAAGGCGCCAAACUCCUGCUUUACUUCAGCUACCAAAUUCUCCACCUUCCUACUGCUUUCUUCCAAUCCUGUACGGAGUUCCACCUGCAGUUGCUGCUGUUGUACUUGCGAGGCCUGCAGACUUUCCAUUACUUCCUGAAGCCUGAUCUCUUGCUUCUUGAUUUGUUCCUCCAAGGUCUUGAAUCUGGAACUUUCGGCCAUGGAUCACGAGCUCGUUCUAAGGAUUCAGCUAGCUCUGAUACCACUUGUCAGGCCUCUGGAUCCAUUGUCAUUCCCUGACCUUGAAUUGAUUUUGAAUCUGGUGAUAAUCGAGAAUUGUUGGAGCUGGGAAGGGUGAAAGAGAAGGGAGAGAAUUGAGAGAGAGUAGGAAUAGAGAGAGAAAAUAUUUGGAAGAGGGAAAUUCUGUUAUAAACUCUGAUACCUUUUCCGCCAAUCAAAGUAGUACAAAUAGGAUGAAGCAACAGACAAUCAAAUUUGCUAACUAAAUGUGUUAUGCGCUACACGACGUCGUGCUAAUGAAUUGGAGUACCCUCCACGACGUCGUUCUACCUAUUGCUGUUUCUGCUACAUUUAAGUGGAACGACAUCGUUCAGUUAUUGAAGCUUUAAAAAGAACGACAGCGUUGCGCAUUGGGGCAAAAUCAAUUUGUCUAAUUUGUCUGAUUUGGAAGAUCGAUUGCUGUGUCCUGACACAUGGCCAAGUCUGAAAAGGAUUAAGAAGUCCGUUGCAGCACUUUGAGUUUGCGGAAUUGAAAAUGACGUAGAAACGGCAUUGUUGUUUCUACAGCAAGUCCGACGUCAAAUGACCUUUUCAUUUUGCUUUUAGAUGUUAGGCCAGUUUUGUACCGUACUUCAAGUUUACACAAAUGUCCGAACCCAUUACAUUACUGUACUUCAUAGUAAUCGUCGAUUAAAUCCCCCGAGCCCAGACAAACUCCUUUUUCUAUUUUUAAGGUUUUUCCUCCUCCUCUUUUGCUACUGUUUGGAUAGGAAACUAUUUGAAAUAAUUUUUUUAAAAAAAUAUUGUAACAUUUUUAAAAAAUGUAUUGAUAAUACAGAUAAAUUAGUGUGUGUGUGUGUGUGUAAAUAAUGUGCAAUUCAAAGCAUUGGCCGGUUGCUGCACUUUUGCGAGUGCCCAACACCUUCAAUAAGCAUCUCAAGCUUCAAGUUCUCAUAUCGCUUGUUGAGUUUACGCAGCCUUUAACAGAAAGCAAUCAUCCACAAACGAGGGAAAGUUUCCAUAGCAAAAGGUACCUGCUUUAUUGGUCUUUAAUCUUUUAUACGUACCUGCGAUGUGAUCCGGCCGCUUGAUGUGUGUCCACCUCAUCAAACACAUAAUGUUGCUUUUUUUUUUUUUGGUAUAAAUCAUAUGUAUCUGCAUACAUUUUAUGAUCUAUGAUUAAUUCUGUUAUAGUCAAAUUGAGCCUCUUGCGGGGAUAAUUUUCCCAACGCUAGUUAGUACCUGUUGCAUACUCAAUUAAGAGAAAAAAUGCAUAAUAUGUAUGAUAAAUAAAUUUUUCAUCGCUAAAGCAAAUUUUAAUCUCUUAAAUUUCUUUCACAUAACAAUUGUUACAUUGGUAGUUACGGUGCUAAGGAUUAAUUACGUAGUUGAGAAGCAAAUAGUUGAAGCAAAAGGUGUUUUCAAGACAGGCUAACCAUAAUUAUGAGCUUAGGUAGUUAAGAUGAAAGUAGUCACCAUAGAGUAAAUAUGAGAAUUCAUAAAAUGACGUAUAACGUUUACACCAGGACUCCCUUCCUCUCCCUUAUUGCAUAGAUAUUGUCAUUUCAAAGCAUUUCAAAUACUAUUAGAUAAAUUUGGAGCUCUGGAUAAACCCAUGAAAAAUCAAAUCAAAGCAAGUGUUUUGAUGUGGAAAUGGGGAAAAAUGGUUUUAAAUUUUUAAAAUGUAACUAUGUUGUGACCAUUUUGUCCUUAAUAGUAAGGGUAAAAUUGAUAAUUAAAAGAUGACAUGUUUUUUUAAUAAGGGUAAAAAUGACAUAUUUUUUUUACCACCAAACUCUACUCACGUUUUAUAUUUAGACUAGUGGGUGAGGCAAACAUGUGUGUGUAUAUUUUAGGGAAAAAAAUAAAUAAUGCAAAUUGAUACAGAUUAACAAACUAGUCAAAGCAAGGAAAUUAAUUAGAGUCGUGAACUUUUCCCCUUGUCCAUUGAUUGAACUUGGUGGGAAACCGGGGGUAAGUAUGGUAGUAACGAAUAAGUAUAUUAGUAGGAGUUAAUGGAAGCAUGGACCGGGGGGCAUGAAAUUAGAGUUGCAAACAAGUCAUUUCCACUCAAGGGAGCUCGGCUCUAGAUCGGUCAAUAUCGAGUUUGAAUUGACUUGACAAAUGGGUCAAGUUGAAUAUACGGAUACUUGACUCGUUAGCUCGUCAAACUAGCUUGAAUUUAUAUAUUUUUAAUAAUAAAAUUAUGUAUAUGUCCCCUAUAUUUUUAUUAUUUAAUUAGGAUAAAUUGUCAAUUUUAUCCAUUUUGAAAAAAAGAAAAAUUAUUUUUUAUUUUAUUUAAAUUUGAGUAGACUCAAAAUUGAAUUCGACAAAGCUCAAAUUGGAGUUUGAACUCGAGCUUGAGUUUUAAAAUGAAAAUUCAUUGAAUUUGAAUUCGAAUUUGAACCCAGUCAAAAUUGAAUUAAGCACGACUAUUUAGACCAAAAUUCAAUUCAACUCGGAUUGUUUGCGACCAUAUAUGAAAUGGUAGUAUAGUAUUUCAUCUUGUAAUAGUAAAAUUGGGAUAAAUUUGAUGAUAGAAUUUUUCAACGCUAAAUCCAUAACAAAGGCUUUAUAAAUAGAGAGAGAUAUAUGUGCCAUUGCGUUUCCGCUCAAGGCAUCAAAUGGGUCAACUAUGCCUCUCUCGCUAAAUAAAAUUACGUCCUGUGCAACCAAAGUUACUCACGGUUGAAAAUGGUCAAAAUCGUUGGUGAGUGCAAUCGUCCGUGCCCCUUGUCCCACAUUCCAGGUGACUUUGAGUGUGUUUGGAUUGCAAAUUUAUUUCAAAUAAUAUUACGCUUGUAUCAUAAACACAUUUUUCACCUACCUUUUUAUAUUCUCAACUACUUUUUAUCUCACAUACAUCAAAUCACAAAAAAUGCUUCAAUAAUUAUUCCAAAUAAUAUUUCAGAUAAUACUCUAUCCAAACACACUUUUUGAUAUUUACCACUAUUUUCUCACUUGUCUUUCUCACGUAAUUGCAAUGGCAUGUCAAUCAGGAAAUAAUUUCAGAAACAUCUUUCUAACAAUUUAGAUUAUCUCCUCUAAAGUUUAAAAAAUUACAUUAACCUCUCUUAUUAUUAUUACUAAAUGACUACACUGACCUUCACAAAAUCUACUAAUCAUAUGAAAAUGGAGUUAAAAAAAAAACAAAAAAAAAAAAUCCUUUCCCACUAAAACCUCUUUAUUUAAAAAGCUCAUGUCUCAUUUCACCUACGACAAUAUCUAAAAACUCUCAUCUUGUUUCCUCUGAUUGGAUUUCUUGUUCAAUUAUGCAAAAAAGCCGAUCAGCCAAUAAGGAUACAUUUGUUCUAACUUAAAAUUCUUCUAUCACUAAAGUUGUUAUAGAAAUCAUGUAAGGAUAAUAUAGGAUAUUCAUUGCAUCCUUUGUGCAUAUAUUACCAAUUGUUAUCAAGACACGGCAUAUGAAGAAGGUUUCUAUAAUUUUUCAAACUUCAUAGAAGGUAACUAUAACUGUGAAAAACUUUAAGGCACGUUUAUGAAAUUAUCCCAUUAAUCAAUUCCUACUUAUCAUUUAUCAAGCCAUUCAAGAACAACCACCAUUCUUUUUUUUUUCCUUUUUUUUUUUUUUGUGGAUAGGUGCUUGUCUAAUCCUACACUUACUCCUAGUCCUACUUUAACUUAUACUAAGGGGAGGACCUAAUUGGACAAUUGAAAAAUCGACAAAGAUUAAACUACAAUCGGAUCAGACGGAUGCACUACACACUAAAGGGAGGACCGCACCAUUCUAUUAUGUCUUGUGACUACAUUGCCCCGUCAAUGGUACAAACUUUUUUUUUUUGAGGCAAUUGGACAGGAAACUUAGGUAGAGGAUCCAUUUCGGAUUCAAACUGUAGUGGAUUUGUUUGGAUAAAGUAUUAUUUGAAAUUAUUACUAUAGCACUUUUUUUUGAUGUGAUGUAUGUGAAAUAAAAAGAUAGUUAAAAAUAUACUAAGAUGAGCUGAAAAAAUAUGUUUAUGAUGCAAGCCAAAUAUUAUUUAGAAUAAUUUGCUAUCCAAACACUCUUAAAAUUAUCACUUGCUAGUAACAACAUCACCAAUGCGUGUUGCAGUGCAAGUUGAGAUAUCCUAUUUUUUUUUAAUUAAUUGACAAUAUCUAUACGCUAUGUAUACUUUAACCUAAAGGAGUGUCCAACUAGAUCAGGAAGCUAAAGAGAGAAAAAUCCACCUCUAAAUAAAAAAGGUACACUAAUGCACAUGAGCAGGUGCAAAGAUCUAUAAAACCUUAGAACUGCAAAUUCCCUAUUACAUUCUAUGCUAUGCAUGUUGGUCAAAUGCUCUCAAAUAUUCACACAUUCUUUUUAGUUCCAUUUCUAACGUUUUCCACUAAAAGUAGCUCAUAGAGUCAGUAGUAUUACACAUUUUUUUUUUCAAAAAAAAUAUAAUUCGGACUAGUCAUACUUAGCUUUGUCCUUUACCCCGUUAUUUAUCUAUUUAUUUAUUUUUUACUUCCGAGAGAAAAUAAUAAUGACGGAUAACUAAUAAGCUCAAAAUUUUCGAUUAAAAAAAGGCUAAAAAAUUAAAAACAUCGUGAAACACAUUGGUCAGUGCAUUUUUAUCGAAAAAAACCUGCGAGGUGCUGUCCUAACUCAGGAAAUGAAUAUUUAGGAUUGAUUGUCGUUGGGUCCCGUUCUCAAGUGUCAGACUGAACUUCAACGGACGCAAUCUGGACUCCCUGGGCUUGGGCUUGGGCUUGGGCUUGGGCUUGGGCUUGGGUUUCAAGUUCCACCACCGGUAAUCCCACACAAGCCACAAAUUGCACAGUCGCCGAUAUUUUUAACAAAGUGAUGGACUGUAUAGAAUAUACAGGAUGCCCGCCCCGGCGCGGCAACAAAUACUCAUUACCUAUUUGCUUUCAUUGCAGACUCUUUUGCUAAUUCAAAUCCGAAUGGACUGUAAAAAAGUGAUGAUUUAACUUUGAAGUGAAAAUCUCCCCUAACAAGUCAGUAGUGUAAAGACGAAGACAGAUACCAGUUAUUUUUCCAAUCACCACCACCUGUAACACAUUUAAACCCACAUCCACACCGGGGAGACACCUCAAAAUCACGGACCGGAAACUUGGCGGAGGUGAUACCAACCGAGAACUCAAGAUCUUCCCCAUUCCGUCUUACCUCCACUAUCUUCAACGACAGCUUCAGCACUUCAACGCUAACACCUCUGAGUUUGGUGAGCCGAUCCUUCGAUAUCACUCCGGAUAUGGUGGACUUGUACCUCAGCUUGUAUAAAUUCGUCAGCCAAAAGCUGCAGGUGCCAUUUAGAUGAGCCGAGAACUCACCGGUGUUGGGCUUCAAAUCAUAGCCGGUUGCACCCUGUGGAAGAAGACCCACAGGAAAGUCGUAUUGCUCAAGAGCUUCGUAAGCCGAAGGCUUCUCCUUUCCAGAAUAAGCACAUAGGCAAAAGGGGCAGAGGCAGAGUAGGGUCAACCACGAUGACAUGGAUUGGAUACCUUUUGGCUUAAGAAAACUACUACCACCCCAAUAAUAUUCUGCUCUCUUCAUUUUUCUGGGCUUUUUCCCCGUAAUGGACGGACGUUCAAAAGUAGUGCCUCAUAUAGAAUUCGCGACAACUUCAACAGCUAAUGCCUAGUUGGUAUCUCCCGAAGUUUACAAAAUUACAUUAGUAAAGGUGAAUGAAGGAAAAAGAAAGGUAAAAUUUAAAAAAUUUUCUACUCAAAAUCAUAAAUAUCAUAGCAAACAUCAUGUCAAAAGAAAUGAAUAACCUAUUUUGUUGAAUAUUGUGAUAACUAGUAUAAUUUUAUUGCUUAUUUAUGUUAUGUAAUUUAUUAUAUGUGAACUUUUUGACUAAUAAAAUAUGUGUAUUAAUUAUUUUUAUUUUUUUAUUAAUACAACUUAUAUACAUGCAUAUUAUGAAAUUAAAAUUCCAUCUCUCUUCUCAAAGUAUUUUUUUAAUGUUAUUUUUUCUAAUUGAACUAAUUUUGUUAUCAAAACUUUAACUUUAUGAGAGAUUUGUAUUACUUUACAAACUUCAGAGGAGGCUAGUGAAAUUAUUAAAAACCUUAGGGGAGGUAUCUGAAAUUAUCCCUAACGCCUAAUGGGGAAUUUUGACCCCAAAAAAAAAAUGCCAAAUGGGGAAGGCUACAAAUAAUUGUCGCUAUUGGUACACUAUCAUCUUAGCUGUCAUGCACCUCCAUCUGUCCACGUGCUGCUGUUUCUUUUUUUUUUUUUUGGGGUGUUUUUGUUUUUUGUUUUUUUUCGGGUGAGUUCUCCAAAUAACAAUUUAAAAAUCCAUUGAUGUUAAUACCCGCUAGACGACCAGUGCAAGCAAUCAAUAAUGAAAGUUACAAACAGAACGAGUUCUUAAACCACUGAAUGUUGCUGAUACUUCCCCUUCAAUUAUCAGAUGCCAAUCAACAUCCAGUUGAGCCAACAACCAGGGAACCUUUUUUUUUUCCGGCAACGAUGACAUUUCAACCAGGGACCUACCCAAUUCAAGAAGACAAAAAAUAGAAAGCAAUGGGAAUCUGGCGAUUAUUAGAGGGAAUAUUACAGAAAAAGCAGAGAUCAACUGUAGUAGAAUGGAGGAUUAACAGGAUAUAAUUUCCUCAAGACUCAAUUUACAUGUAAACCUUUUCUUUCCUGUACCUGUUCGGUUUUCAAGCAACGGAACAUUAUUGUAUGAGUUCUAAAAUAGACUUAAAUCAUCUAUACGAAUUCAUAUGUCCUAUUUACAGAGUAUUACUUCCCCAAUCCUCGGGUAUUAGCUUUUAUGUUUUUGAGGUUUUAGAGAUUCUAAAGCCAAAACAGAAGAGUAAUCCCGAAAAACCAUUAUUAUUUUUUGGGGGAAGGGUAGAAGGGGGGAGGGGGGGGCGUUGAUUAAUCUUUUGGUAUGUUCUUCGUUCUAAAAGGAAGAGUAAAGUAAAGAUAACAAAGAACAGCAACUGAACAGAAAGGGAAAUCACCAAAAGGUUGGCAUGAACAUAGCCAGGUAAGGACAUGAUCCCACGGUUACAAUGUCAAAAUAUAACGAAUUGCAAAAUCAAGUAAAUAAAGCAAAGAAAAAAUAAUUUUUGGUUAAGUUGGACAUAAACCAAGUCUGAUAGAGCUACCUACGAUCUUAAGAGACCAAGCAACAUUCUAAUCAGCAAACAGAAACAAGCUAUUGGAGCUGCAAGAGAGUGUGAUGAAGUACGUAACACCAAAUUUCAUGGGCAAUUAUGAAAAUUUGAAUAGAACGCGAGCCAACAUACUAUGAUUAAGCUAAUUCCAACUAGUGUAAAGUAACUGGCGAGCCAAUGGAAGAAUUACCAGCAAAUAAGCACGUAUAGAGAAUGAAUAAAUUUAAUUCACAUCUUUCAGUCGUUUUAUCAAUGCAUCUAGAGAUUUCUUCUUCGUAUUCUGCUUCGCUCCCCUUGUUCCAAAUGACCCAAACAGCCUGUCGGAUUGAUCCCUUAACUUCUCUGAAAUGGCCACUACUUUCCGGUAGUCCAAAGCAUUAUAACUUCUCUCUCGGAUAACUGGAUUUAAGAAGUUCUCAGGAUGAUUGCUCAAGAGCAAGUUAAUCAAUUGCCUUGACUCAACAAGUGCUGUUUUCAACUCAUUUGCAUCUGCAUCAGACAAAAGUGUAGCUUGGUUCUCAGCAAAUGAUUCCAACAUCCGGACAUCCACAUCAAGUCCCAUAAUAGCGUUUACGUUAAAUCUCUUAACUGAUUCCCCAAGUAAAGCUCCAACGAUCAUCUCAGAUAUGUGAGAAAGAACAUCUUGCAGAACCCUCUUAAGAACCUCAACCGGCAAAAUCUGCUGAGCAGUAGAGACGAGAGUUUCUAGAAAUAUAAUCACCUCAUUCGCAUAUUCAUUACCACCCUGUAGAGUAUCAUCGGCCAUCCAGUUCACAUUCUCAAUUAGAGUCAAAAAUCCAUCGACCUUCUGCUUAAGCAACCCAGAGAGCAUCUCCUCAGCUGCAUCACGAGCUUUCGUUAGAGGAAACUGCUUCCUGCCCCUUUCGGCCAUUCUUAAAGGAAUUCCUGAAAGUUGUGCAGCAUGGCAAAAAAAGAAGUCACAAGCACGCUCAAAUACAGCCAUAUUCGCUGCCAUCUGCAUUGCCUGAGUAACCCCGUUAACUGAAGUAUUAAUGAUCUUCAAUAAAGCCCCAUCCAGAACUUCAGCCAAGAGCCUAUCCAAAUACUUCUUCACCACAUCAUAGAACUCGAGCUGUCCGCCAUACGACAUGAAACUCACCGAAUCCUCAAUGAAUGACCGCACAAUUCUACAGCAAUCAGGCACGGUGGAAGAAAAUGGUGCAACAUAAGGGAAUGCGGGCAUAAGAUUAGAAGUUUGCAACUGAAACGAGAGAACGUUCAUGGAAUAUUCAUACUCUUUCUUCAUAUACAUCUGCUCAAGCUUAUCCGCGGCAAGAGCCUCGGCAAUCUGCUUACGACAAUCAGACAACAAGAGCUCAUGAUACUUAUCCCUGUGCUUGCUCAAAACAUCAAGCAAAGCAUCAGUAGGAUACCCAUAUCUCCGCAACGUAACGCCAAGCAAACUCACAUAAUCCUUUAUCAGUAGCAGAUGAUUUGCUGUCUGCAUUCUAGAGAAUUGAUCCUCUAAAACGGAACACAUUUUGCUCACAGCAGUAUCCCACAAAUUCUCAACCUCCAUCUUCGAAAUUAACCCCCCACCAGUCCUCAAAACUCUAUCCUCAACUAUAAAGAACCCGGCAAUUUGAGCCAAAAAGGUUUGAUGCGAUUCGAGAAAAGGGGUCAUUGAAGAUACCUGAAAAUCCGAAGUUAAUUGAAGCUUCCGGUUUUCGAAAUAAUACUGCCUGAAACGAUCCUCCAGCCCAAGAGUCUGGUGAAUAUGAUGGGCUCGGUACAAGGGCAUCAAAUCAAAUCCCAAAGCCCCUGCCCCACCGUUACCAUAGCCUUCCCUGUUAUUCUCGCAGAAUCCGUCUAGCCCUUCAUCAUCUUCUUCCUCAAGCGCGUAAACGCAGUCCCGAAGACUCAGACGACUCUGC
rnacentral:lncRNA from 1 species